rnacentral:rRNA from 1 species
UACGUAGGGUGCGAGCGUUGUCCGGAAUUGCUGGGCGUAAAGGGCUCGUAGGCGGUUUGUCGCGUCGGGAGUGAAAACCAGGUGCUUAACACCUGGCUUGCUUUCGAUACGGGCAGACUAGAGGUAUUCAGGGGAGAACGGAAUUCCUGGUGUAGCGGUGAAAUGCGCAGAUAUCAGGAGGAACACCGGUGGCGAAGGCGGUUCUCUGGGAAUGACCUGACGCUGAGGAGCGAAAGCGUGGGGAGCGAACAGG